UUGUUUUGUUUGUUUUAUUUAUGUAUAUAGAUAUAUAUAUUAUUUCGUUCUAUGUGUAUUUUGAUAUAAAUAUAUAUUAAUAUCACAAUACAGUUAGAACGAAAUAAAACAUAUCUAUAUAUUUUUUAAUAAUUUUUAAAAAAUAAUUUUUAAAAUUUUAUUUUUUAACGUAUUUACAUUUUUUUUUAUAUUAUAUAUAAAUAUAUAUAACAAUAAUUAUAUAUAUAUUUAAUCAAUAUCAGUCUACGUGUAAUCCGUCGCAUUCGGAUGUCUGCCCUAUUAACUUUCAAUGGUACUUUCUGCACCUAUCAUGGUGACCACGGGUAACAGGGAAUCAGGGUUUGAUUCCAGAGAGGGAGCCAGAGAAACGGCUACCACAUCCAAGGAAGGCAGCAGGCGCGCAAUUUACCCCACACCUGACGCGGGGAGGUAGUGACGAAAAAUAACAAUACAGGACCCUUUUGAGGCCCUGUAAUUGUAAUGAGUACACUUUAAAUCCUUUAACGAGGAUCUAUUGGAGGGCAAGUCUGGUGCAGAGCAACUGACCCGUGCGUGCUGCAGCUGAAACUCCACUAUAGCCUGCUGCUGCUCAUACAGUCUCUCCAGCA